GGUGUCCCCGCACCAUGAUCACCCCAGCGCCGCAUCAGGAGACCAGCAAACCCAUUGACCCCUUCACUUACGGUAAAAAAUUCAGAUGCAAAAAAUCAGACCCUGGACUGUCAGACCCCAGGGCGACAGGCAAGAGUCCCACUCCAGCUGGCACCGU